UAGAGAUAGUGUCAAAAUAGAA
rnacentral:miRNA from 1 species